rnacentral:rRNA from 1 species
CUACGGAGGGUGCAAGCGUUGUCCGGAUUUAUUGGGUUUAAAGGGUGCGUAGGCGGUACGUUAAGUCAGUGGUGAAAUCCCUCAGCUCAACUGAGGAACUGCCAUUGAUACUGGCGUACUUGAGUACAGACGAGGUGGGCGGAAUUUAUGGUGUAGCGGUGAAAUGCAUAGAUACCAUAAAGAACACCGAUAGCGAAGGCAGCUUACUAGACUGUAACUGACGCUCAGGCACGAAAGCGUGGGGAGCGAACAGGAUUAGAAACCCUAGUAGUCC